UACGAAGGGGGCUAGCGUUGCUCGGAAUCACUGGGCGUAAAGCGCGCGUAGGCGGUUUGGUAAGUCGGAUGUGAAAACCAGAGGCUCAACCUCUGGCCUGCAUCCGAUACUGCCCGACUAGAGGUAGGGUAGGGGAGAUCGGAAUUCCUGGUGUAGCGGUGAAAUGCGCAGAUAAUCAGGAGGAACACCGGUGGCGAAGGCGG
rnacentral:rRNA from 1 species